UGCCCCAAUAAAUUUGAAAAACUAGGGUUCCCAGUUGAAUCUCCAUCUAUCAAAGCUUCCAUUGUUCACGCUCACAGGUGGUUAAAUUGAGUAUUACCAGCAAUGUUCGGCCCUAGAAACUUCUAGCCAGUGCCCAAAUUGUGGUUUUUGAAAAUACUCAGAGACUCCACUGAAAGUUUUGCUGUGAACACUGCUAGACUGAUCCUGUUCAAGCACAGUUGCUGCCCUAUUUUGCAUGAGUCGAGUGUGGUAGAGCAAUUACCUAUCCCUUUUUCCAUGCAUCUUAAAAUCCAGCUUCAGUCACUGUUCUCAUUGAAGAUGAGACUGGUCAAGCACAUGCAGUCUUAAUGGGCAAAGAAGCAGAAGAAAUCUUUGGAAUCUCAUGCGAAGACUUGAUAUAUAUA
rnacentral:lncRNA from 1 species